GGGUUCAAGCAAUUCUCCUGCCUCAGCCUCCAGAGUAGCUGGGAUGAAAAAAGAUGGUUUUUAAAAAGUAGGAUUGAUCUCAAUUCAUUCAACUGCUAAAUUUGGAGAGUGACCCUAAUACCUGAUUCCUGGAAGGGCUUUUACCACACAUUCCAGAAUGAGGAAGUGGAACCUGUCAAAAGAAUGAGGUGACUAAGCAUUCACAAAUGCAAAUCAAAGCUCUAAGCUGAGACUUCCUGCUGUUCCAAUGAGCUCUGUGCAAGGUUCAGUCUAUCACCUGUGAAGACAGGUGUUUUCAAGGCCAAGGUGAUCUGUGACUCUGGGAAACAGCCAACCCAACCCAGGUGCACAAUGCAGGCCAGGCGGGCCUUCCCAUCCAACUCACUGCAGGGUGCUGGGGACUGUGCCCCUCUCCACCUCAGCUUUCUCCUCUAGCCAUGUCUAUGGCAGCACAAAAACCCAGUUAGGGCGAAAUUUGACAUAGGCUUGAGAAAAGUCCCCUCAAAAUUGCUGAGUGAGCUGUAGAGGGAAAAGCCAGCUUUCCGC